UUCCUUUGCUCAAGCAGCCUUUGCUGCAGCUAAAUCAAUCAAGAUUGGGGGCGCUCCUCCUCCCUCCGGUGGAUUACGUAAGUCGUCUUGCUUUUGGUUAAGGUCUUUAUUUACCUUUUUCCUUUCUUUCCCAGUGGUGAAUCAACAUUUAGAGUCAUUGGGUUCUGUUUUUUAUACAUAUUCCAGAAAAAAAAUUCAGUUCAAACACGCAUAUAUGUAGCUAAGGUUUUUGUCGAACCAUUUUGUGUCUAGUCUAGAUCCGCCACUGAUUAUUGAGGCGACACAACAAUAAUAUUAUAGUAAUAGAUAUACUUACAGACAAUUGAUAGCAUGAUUCACAUAUCCAGGACAGAAUGUUAGAGUAACUCGCCAAUUCUGCAUUUCAAUUCAUUUAAUUUUGCUUAAUAUUUCAGUGGUUAGAACCUUCACUGGACCAAGGAAUAGAUUAAGGUCACUAGAUCAUAUCAUAAAGAGAAAUCCUGAAGUGAAUUAUAAGAAGGAAUUGAGCUUGAGGAAAGAACUGGAGCGGCUCAUAGUAAGUAGUCAAAGAUUGCAUCUGACACGAGUAUUCUAAUCCUUUUGAAUGGUCUGUAACUUGUCCCUUCUGAUUUUUAUAAUAUUUCGUGAGGAGCGAUUGUAGAAACGAUUUCAAACAUUAAAUUUGAAGCAGUAGAUUUCCUAUGUGAUACAAAAGGAUACAUCCCAAAUUGUGAAAUAUGGAAAAUUAAUAGAUAAGUGAUAAUUGAGAUCUUGUACUAGUUCUUAGUACUUGUGCCAUGAAAAUUAAUCUUUGUGCAUUGCAUUUUAUGAAUGCCGAAUACAAUAAACCAGAUGGAUCUUUAGAAGUAGUUAUGCAGUUGAAAUAUGAUGGUUUCUCAUUUUGGUAAAAUAAGACUUACAACAAAUUCCAACUUAAUUCAGAAGUGGUUACUAGAACUAGGAAAGAUAAUGUUAGUAUCACAUAGCAUUUGGAAUGUGUGUACUCAUGCUGAGGAUUUGGGUUUUGGCAGCUGGAACUUUGAACUCGGAUGAGGCAAGGGACUUUGGUCUACCACUUAAGAAGAGGUUUUACCUUCAACCAUUGACUCCAGCUGAAGCAGCCCAGAGAGUUAAGGAUUCAGCCAAGGAGAUUGUUAGCGUCAAGAAUUUCAUCGACAAGAAGGCCUGGCCAUAUGUCCAGAAUGACCUUCGUCUCAGAGCAGAAUACCUUCGCUAUGACCUUAAAACCGUCAUCUCUGCUAAGCCAAAAGAAGAAAAGGGAAAACUCCAGGACCUGACUGGAAAGCUCUUCAAGACCAUUAGUGAUAAUCUCAGCUAAGCCAAAAGAAGAGAAGGGAAAGCUCCAGGACCUGACUGGAAAGCUCUUCAAGACCAUUAGUGAUGUAAGUCAAAUCUCUACAUUCUUGGUUACAUGAAUGUCAAAAGUAGUGAAAUUAUGUGCAUUGCAAUCCAAAGGGGUGCUUAUAUUUUUGCAUUUUUUUUAACAAUCUGUUCUUUUCCUUCCUCAGCU
rnacentral:lncRNA from 1 species